UAGCAAAGACUCAAGCCAGC
rnacentral:piRNA from 1 species